rnacentral:rRNA from 1 species
UACGAAGGUGGCAAGCGUUGUUCGGAUUUACUGGGCGUACAGGGAGCGUAGGCGGUUGGGUAAGCCCUCCGUGAAAUCUUCGGGCCUAACCCGGAAAGUGCGGAGGGGACUGCUCGGCUAGAGGAUGGGAGAGGAGCGCGGAAUUCCCGGUGUAGCGGUGAAAUGCGCAGAUAUCGGGAGGAACACCAAUGGCGAAGGCAGCUCGCUGGGACGGUACUGACGCUGAGACGCGAAAGCGUGGGGAGCAACAGG